rnacentral:tRNA from 1 species
GCCUGGGUGGCUCAGUCGGUUGAGCGUCUGACUCUUGAUUUCGGCUCAGGUCAUGAUCUCACAGUUCAUGGGUUCGAGCCCCACAUCGGGCU